UACAGAGGUCUCAAGCGUUGUUCGGAAUUAUUGGGCGUAAAGGGUGCGUAGGCGGCAGGGUAAGUUAGAUGUGAAAUACCGGGGCUUAACCUCGGAAUUGCAUUUAAGACUGCCUUGCUCGAGCAUUAGAGAGGAGACUGGAAUUUACGGUGUAGCAGUGAAAUGCGUAGAUAUCGUAAGGAAGACCAGUGGCGAAAGCGAGUCUCUGGCUAAAUGCUGACGCUGAGGCACGAAAGCUGGGGGAGCAAACGGG
rnacentral:rRNA from 1 species